CGAGGGAGGGAGUGAGAGAGCCCGACUCAGAGCCUCGAAUGGCAUCUUCUGGCGAACGAUAGCGAGAGGGGACGUAGGAGACGACGGAGUCGGGGCUCAACGAAGGAGGAGGAGGAGGCGAGUUUGGCGUCCAAAAGGAACCUCCGUUGGUCUCUUCCUUUCCAUCUCUUCGUGGUCAUAGGCCAGUCCGGGUUUUCCUCGUUUAUAAUCUGAUUUGAGGCUUCACAUACUUGGGUAGGAAAAGAGGAGAUUCGGUUAAUAGCGGUAGGAAAUCUUGGUCUUUCGGGUUGAUUUGUGCUUGGGAGUUAUGUUGGAAGGCAACUCGUUGGGCAACAACAAGCGCCCAUUAGAUGAAGAAUUGGAAGAACAAGAAGAUCAGAUUAAGAGGAAGAAUUCGCCACAGCAUCACGAUACCCCUGAUCUAGAAGAUGUGCAGCGCACUACUGACAAUUCUGAUCACCACGAAAAUGAUAUGGACUACAAUGAUUGCAGCACCUUCAUCAACCCUCUCGGCAGGGAUCUGACAGUGAGCUGUCUUCUUCUCCUCUCCCGGUCCUAUUAUGGCACUGUGGCAUCCGUCAACAGUUCUUUCCGUUCGCUGGUCCGAAGCGGAGAGCUCUACCGGCUGCGUCGCCAGAUGGAGAUCUCCGAGCACUGGGUCUAUUUCUCCUGCAAUGUCCUUGAAUGGGAGGCAUACGAUCCCUACCGUGAGUGCUGGAUUGCUGUUCCUAAGAUGCCCCCUACCGAAAGCUUUAUGUGCUCGGAUAAGGAAUCCCUUGCUGUGGGCACCGAUCUCCUUGUUUUUGGAAAGGAGCUGAAUUCCUACAUGGUCCUGAGAUAUAGCAUUUUAACCAACUCCUGGUCACCUGGUGUGGUAAUGAACUCACCUAGGUGCUUGUUUGGAUCUGCUAGUCUUGGAGAGAAAGCUGUUGUAGCCGGUGGCACCAAUGCGGAAGGUGACGUACUUAGCUCUGCAGAGCUUUACAAUUCUGAGACACAGACUUGGGAGACCUUGCCCAGUAUGAACAGGGCACGGAAGAUGUGUUCGGGGGUGUUCAUGGAUAGAAAGUUCUAUGUCAUUGGCGGCAUGGAUUCUGACAGGAAUGUGCUGACAUGUGGGGAAGAGUAUGACUUCGAGAGACGUUCAUGGAGGGUGAUUCCUGAUAUGUCUGCUGGUCUCCAUGGUGCCAGUGGUGCGCCUCCACUUGUAGCUGUGGUGAAAAAUGAGCUCUAUGCAGCUCAUUAUGCUGACAAGGAGGUGAGGAAGUAUAUUAAGGAGAAUAAUACAUGGGUAACUUUGGGGCAGUUACCUGAAAGGUCUGUUUCAAUGAACGGUUGGGGCCUUGCCUUCCGUGCUUGUGGUGCACGGCUAAUAGUUAUUGGUGGGCCACGAGAAUCUCAUGGAGGGGUAAUUGAGCUCAAUUCUUGGAUUCCAAAUGGGAGGCCACCUAUAUGGAAUAUGAUGGCAAGCAAGCAUUCAGGAAGCUUUGUUUAUAAUUGUGCUGUGAUGGGCUGCUGAUUUCUGUUGUUCAUCCAUCAUGCCUGUAUUUUGCCUCUCCUGGAAAGAUGCAUGAUAUUGGCUUUCUAGAGCCAGCAGCAGUUCAUCUCACACGGCAUUCCACUCUCAGUUACCAUUUUGUUGAUUAUAUGUGGUUUAUCUGAUUAAAAAGAUGGAGACAAAUUAUUUUCUCACUUAGCUGGAGCGAAAAUUCCUGCAUAGACAGAAAAAUUUUCAACUGAAUUCAAUCUACGUGACCUGCGAAGAGAAGAAAGUCGCACUGUCGGAUUCUGAUGCUGUAAAGAUAUCGACUGGUGGCUUUUCUCUCAAGUAAAAGAAAUAUAAAGACUCGGUGUUUCAAGAAGCUUGAUCUUCGGUCAUCGUCGUCUCAUCGCGAGAUUUUUGCCUCUUGAGAUUCUGUAGAAUUACUCCUUUUUUUUUCUUUGUUUACCUUGAACUGUGAAAUGCUUGGCCAAUGGAAGAUGUAGAAAUUUGAAAUUGGUGCUUUCUUGGAUUCAUAUCCAGGGAUCCACAAAAUUGGUCACGGUGUAAAUAUAUAGUUGGCUUAUGUAUCAAUUGACUGCAUCCGGAAGAUCCUGUUGAACUGA